rnacentral:rRNA from 1 species
AGUGAACGCUGGCGGUAGGCCUAACACAUGCAAGUCGAACGGCAGCACAGUAAGAGCUUGCUCUUACGGGUGGCGAGUGGCGGACGGGUGAGGAAUACAUCGGAAUCUACUUUUUCGGGGGGGAUAACGGAGGGAAACUGACGCUAAUACCGCAUACGACCUACGGGUGAAAGCAGGGGAGCUUCGGACCUUGCGCGAUUGAAUGAGCCGAUGUCGGAUUAGCUAGUUGGCGGGGUAAAGGCCCACCAAGGCGACGAUCCGUAGCUGGUCUGAGAGGAUGAUCAGCCACACUGGAACUGAGACACGGUCCAGCCUCCUACGGGAGGCACCAGUGGGGAAUAUUGGACAUUGGGCGCAAGCCUGCUCCAGCCAUCCCGCUUGGGUGAAGAAGGCCUUCGGGUUGUAAAGCCCUUUUGUUGGGAAAGAAGAGCAGCAGGUUAAUACCCCGCUGUUCUGACGGUACCCACAGAAUAAGCACCGGCUAACUUCGUG